rnacentral:lncRNA from 1 species
AAUUAACACAUAUGAAUCUAUAUUAGUUAAUUGUCUUCACACCAAUUGGAAAAUAAUCAAAUUAGAAUUUAUUUCUUGGACAUUGAACCAGAUACACAUGAACCAAAUUAUAGCAGGAAGCAAAAUAGGGAUUAGCCCUAUAUAUAAAAUAGAAACGAAAUAAUAUAGUAUAACUAUAUCUUGGAUAUGUUAGAUACUACAAAUGCAUUUAUCAUUUACGCAGGAACCACCAGAUAUAAUUUUAUUCAUCAUACGGCAGCGAAUUUCACAAACAGCACGAUCUGCUCCAUUAUCGUGUCUGCAUGGACCUUUAAACGUAAAACAUCUUAUCUCAGAUGCCUCAAUCUGCAUCACUGAUUCUUCUGCAAUUUUCAAAGCAAACAAUUUUAUUUAUUUAUUUUUUAAAAUUAAGUGGUAUAUUUACACUUGUUAAUAACAUUAUUAUAUAUAUUUUAUUGUUGCUACACAAAUUAUUGAAUAGGAAAUUAUUUUUAAAAUAUUUUAAUUUAUGAUUCAUUACGAUAUAAAUUUUAAAUCUUUAAAUUUAAAUUUUAUAAUAAAAAUCAAUCUCUAAAUCAAACAAACUUAUAUUUUUAUAAUUAUAUUUGCCAUUAUUGUCGAAAAAAAUUACACUACCAUUAAAAAGAAAUAAAUAAAUAAUAAUUUAAAAAUAGCUUGAAUUUUUAUUUUGGAACAAACAAACAAAAAAACUUAUAUUUUUAUAAUUAUAUUUUCCAUUAUUGUUGAAAAAGAUUAUAUCUACCAUUCAAAAAAAUGAUAAAUAAAAAAGUAAAUAAACUUUUAUUUUAAAAUUACUUUAAUUAAGAGAAAUAUAAAAAUAGAGAUACUAAUUAAAGUAUAAACUUACGAGUAGCAAAGACAAUAAUAAGAUAGAAGAAUAAGCUGAAAAGCAUUUUUCUCUCCAUGAUUUCUGACUUUUAUUUUGUCUCCUAAUUAUAAUGUAUAUAUAAGUGAUUAUGAUACAUCUCAAUGCUAUUGCUAUUUAGUACCGGUAUUUUAUAGAGCCAUUUAAGUUAAAUUCGAACUAAAUAUUCCAACCAUUAAUCAAUUUGAAAAGACACCAUGAGUUGAAUGUGACCCUUAAGGCCUUAACCAAUGUUUGGCUAUACCACUGUACCGGUUUGCAAUUUGAAAAGUCACCAUAAUUUAUAUUCGGGGUCGUUUGUCCUAACUUUUUUAAAGAUUAUACAAAUAGUUUAUCUAAUUUUUAAGUAGUUUUACAUUAUUAAUGAAGUAUGUAAUAUUAUUUUUCGUAUUAUAUUUAUAUCAUUAAUUAUUUAUUACUAUCUUUUCUUUCAAUUCUUAAUAUAAUUUAUUUUUUUCUUAUCAUAAAUGAAAGUCAAUUUUGUAAAUCGACUCAUAUUUUCUUUUAUGUAUAUUAUUUACCAUUCAAAGGAGGAUCUUUACAAUUUCAACAAAUUUGUUUGUAAAUCGCUAUAUCUUCUUUUAUGUAUAUUUUUUUAUUAUUUUUUUUAAACUUGGUAUCCGGCUCUAAGACCGACUAAUCUAAAGGGACCAAUUCCACCGCUCACUUGCGGGGGCCCUAUUUAAAGCCAAUUUUUUUUUUGCUCUGUAUGGACUUAGCCCACCGAAAUUAGCACCAGAAGGAAUCGAACCCGAGACCUUGAAAGAAGCAUACUCAAAGGACUCAAGCCAACACCAGUAGACCAACCCAAGUGGAUUUCUUUUAUGUAUACUAUUAUUUACCAUUCAAAACAAAUUGUAAAAUGCCAAGAUGCAACCAAGCAGCCACUAGAACAACAACAUAAAACCAAAAGCAAUAUAUAGCAAACAACAAAAUUCAUUCUCACCAAUGGAAAAAUUAAUAAUCAAAUUAGAAUUUGUUUUCAUGGAUACGUUAGGCACAGCAAAUGCAUUUUCCAUUUAUGCAGGAACCACCGGAUAUAAGUUCAUUCUCCUCAAUGCACACAAUCUUACAAAAAAGGCUAUCUAUUACUAAGCAAUCUUAUCUCACAUGCCUCAAUCUGCAUCACCGCUUCUUCUACAAUUUUCAAAGGAAACAAAAUACUUUUUUGUUAAUUUAAGCAAUAUAUUUACACUUGUUAGUAAAAUUCUAAUAUUUAUUUUAUUGCUACAUAAAUUAUUAAAUAGGAAAUUAUUUUUAAAAUGUGUUAAUUUAUGAUUCAUUGGUGGUAUAAAUUAUAAAUCUUUAGAUUGACAUUUUAUAAAAAAUCAAUCUCUCAAUUUAAAGAUAGCUUGAAUAUAUUUUUAUUUUCAAACAAACAAACUUAUAUUUUUAUAAUUAUAUUUGCCACUAUUGAAAAAAAAUAUUUGUCAUUAAAAAAUAAUAAAUUUAAAAUGUAAACAAACUUUUAUAUUUAAAUUAUUUUGAUUAAGAUAAAAAUGAAAAUUGAAAUACUAAUUAAAAUAUAAACUUACGAGCUGUUAAGAUAACAAUGAGAAANNNNNNNNNNNNGGUCAAGCUAUUUAAAGAACCAUUGAAGUUAAACUUGAAAAAUAAUACUCCACCCAUUAAUCCAUUUAAAAAGUCACCAUGUCCAUGAGUUGAAUGGGACCCCGUAAUUUAACUAAUGUUUGUAACAAAAAUAAUAUAAUUAACUAAUGUUUGGAUAUACCCUUCAAUACCACUUUGCAAUUGAAGUUUUUUUUUUUUUUAAAGGAUAUACCCCUUAGCACAAGGUAUAUAUAUAUUUUUUUGCCAACAGGACAAGGUGGGUUUUUAAGUGUACUAAAAACCAAAAUAAUAAACAGAAUAUAUAUAUAUGGGGGCUAGUUGGGUCUAAAUUAGCAAAGUGCACCUUUUUAGUUGGACCAAAAUACCCAUUCUUUUUAAUUAAUUAACCAAAUUACCAUCAAUGGACGCGGAUCCAGUGUCGCGCGCGUACCGCAGGACCAUGGUUACAUGCCGUUGAUUUCCAUCAGACAGCCAAGAUCUGAUCUCAUCAAGACUGUCUGAUCAAUCAGACAGCCCAGAUCAUCCGAAUCCAUCAGAUUCCAGCGCGUGCACCACACUGGAUUACACCCUGGAGAGAGANNNNNNNNNNNNNNNNNNNNNNNNNNNNNNNNNNNNNNNNNNNNNNNNNNNNNNNNNNNNNNNNNNNNNNNNNNNNNNNNNNNNNNNNNNNNNNNNNNNNNNNNNNNNNNNNNNNNNNNNNNNNNNNNNNNNNNNNNNNNNNNNNNNNNNNNNNNNNNNNNNNNNNNNNNNNNNNNNNNNNNNNNNNNNNNNNNNNNNNNNNGUCUCCAAAAAUUUCAUAAAAUAUACGAAAAGUUCCAGAAUAUUAUCUACUAUUUUCCUGGUAUAAUGGUUUCAGUGAGUUGGUUGAUUGGUGCGUGUUAAAUUACAACACACAAGUAACAUAUUUAGUAGGCAAAAAAUGAGAUUAAGGUAGUGAAAAAUUGCAUUUUUUUUCGGUGUCCAAAUCAAACGAACCAAGUCUCUAUUUGUAGAAAAAAAAAAUUAUGAAUUUUGGUAUAAAAAAAAAAGUAAAAAUUUAAUUUACAACGAAAUAAUUGAGUUCAAAGUAUUAAAUGAACAAAAAUCACGUCCAGCCAAUCAUUGUGUGACACGUGUCCUACUUUUAAAAAGCAAAUUUUUCUCUCUUCAGGGUGUAAUCCAGUGUAGCUCACGCGCUGGAAUCUGAUGGAUCAGGAUGAUCUGGGCUGUCUGAUUGAUCAGACAGUCUUGAUGAGAUCAGAUCUUGGCUGUCUGGUGGAAAUCAACGGUCUGUAACCAUGGUCCUUCGGUACGCGCGCGACACUCGAUCCACGUCUAUUAAUGGGUAUUUUGGUUAAUUAAUUAAAAAGAAUGGGUAUUUUGGUCCAAUUGGAAAGGUGCACCUUGCUAACUUAGACCUAACUAGGGUCUAAGUUAGAAAACCCCUAUAUAUAUAUAUAUAUGCGUCACUUAGGUGUGUUUGUUACUAAGUUUAGUUUAAACCAAGUUGUGUUACUCUUCAAAAUGUUGAGACUCAUCUUGCUUUAGGUUGUUCGAAAGGUUUUUAUUGUUUUUAUUUUUAUUUUUAUAUACUUUAACUAUUAAUUCACGUACAUUUUUUUUUGACUCUAUUUAGAGACACAUUACAUUGAAGUAAUUUACUCAUUUUUUAUUUCAAUUAUGCAACACUAAAGAGCUUAAAUGAGAUUUCAGGAUUUUACCUCACAUAUUAAUAUUUUAUAUUUUAUCACAACUUAAAAUAACAAUUUAGAAAACAAUAGUAUUUAAAUAAAACACCUCAACGUCACCACCUCAAGAAGAAGACCUCUUAAAUGAGAGAGAUAAGAAUCAACAACGAGAUAUGACAAAACAACAAAAGAACCUUCAAUCCAAUAGAUCCAAAUCCACACCCCAUAUUAUAUUUUUUUUGACACAAAUUCAUUUCUAUCCGAAGUUAAUUGCAAACACUACAAGAAACUUGACAUAUAGCUACGGCGAAAGUCUGUUGGUAAAAGUCCAAAAUCCAUGAAUAUAAGUAUAACGCCCCGAAAUUUAGAAAUAUUUAUUUAGUUAUUAUUUAAUAAAGUUCGGUAGAAAAUAUAUGUCAAACCAAUUAGUUAAUGGAAAUUUAGAGUAGAUGAGACGAAAUAGUGAAAAUAAAUAAUUUAACUAUAAUUAGACAACUCUUAAUAAAUUAAAUAAGAGGAGGAAAAUAAAUAAAAAUAAAAGGAAUAAAGAUUUUCACGACUUUAGGGAUAAUGAACAAAUUAAUAGAUCUUUUAACAAUUUAAGAUGAGAUAAAAAUUGUCACAAGCUUUUAGGAAAAGAAAACCUAGCUGUCACAUAUUAUAAAUAGUAGGAAAAAUAAGAGAAUUAUGAUUAAUCACUAUUAUUGCCGACAAAAUAAUAAAGGUUGUGAAUUGUGAAUUGUCUGUCAUCUAAGUUAUCUGUUGUUUCGCUGACGAUUUUGUUUGGCAGACAUGUUACUCCAGGACGAGCAACAGUUUAAGUGUGGGGUUGUGAUGACAACCAAUUAUAUAAUAUUUUUAGUAGUAAAUUAGAGUAGUUUUAAUAGUAAUUGAAGCCCAAAAGCAAGCAAAUACCGGGAAAAGUGAAGUUACAAGACCCAGAAGCAAGAAAAGUGAAAAAAGCAGCAAAAAGGGCAAAAAUGUAAUAAGGCAGCGCAAAAAUCGUACCCACGAUGAGUCUUGGUGUGGCGCGAUGAGAAGGCGGUUUAAUUGAAGAAAAUCUGCAUAAAAUCUUUUCCAUCGUGGCACGAUGACUUGUUAUAGUGGCACGAUGAUGACUUGAAAAUACGCAGAAAAUCCUGAGAAGAUCUUCCAUCGCUUCACGAUAGGAUCCAUCAUGGCCACGAUGAGGCAAAAAUACACGCCAUCGUGGCCACGAUGGGUGCGAUGGAUGCGCAGAAAAAGCCCAAACUCAGCUGAAAAACUAUAAAUAGAGCCUCAUUCCUCCACUAUUAUUCAUUCCAAAAUAUUCAGAAAUAUUGAGACCUGUUCAAUAUUCACUCUAGAGUAGGAGAAGGAAAGGAGGCCAAACAACUCCAAGGCCAAUAAGGUUCUUUUCUUUCUGCUUUUGUAAUUUAUUUUUCCUAGGUUAGGUGGAGUCGAUGAAUUACCUUACGAAUGCUUGAUUUGUAAUUUAUACAAUUUGGGUAUAAUUUAAUUUGCUUUCUUAUUGCUAACUCUUUUAUCGUUUGGUUUUAUAUUUAUUUUAAUACUGAUCACAUUAGAAUAAAAUCUAAGGACAUAGUGGAUAUCGCAUAUGAAACGAAGCUAGUAAUCCCGAACGAAGGACGAUAUGCUAGGGCCAACAUGAGACCAUUAAAUUCAGUAUCUGAGUUCUUAAUAUAGGAUUAAAACGCAUGAUAAUUUCUACCUUACAGAGUUGCUUCUUGGUAAGUGACUAAUUUUAGGCACACCUGACAGGUUAUUACACACGAAGUCACCGAGGAAAUGAUACCUAAUUUUAAGGCUAAAUUAAAUUCAAGAAAAGGGACUUAGUACAAAAUGUACAAGAAACUCAAAAUUACAAAGAGAAACAAACAUGAUAGCUUCUCUUCACACCCGUGAUUAUUUUUCACCCCAAAAUUUUAAUUUUGUCCUUGCAGAAAAAUUUGAUACGCAAAAAUCGAAUUUUUUCUGACGCAUAUUCAGGAAAAAUUCGGUACACAGAACCCAAAUUUUAUUUUCAAGGCAAAAAAAUUCGAUAAACAUAAUCCGAAUUUUUUAUAAAUGGCUUGAUUUUGUUUGCUUAUAUUGGAUACAAAAUCAAGCCAUUUAGACACUGUUUGGUAAGUCCAAUAAGUUAGCUUAUAGCUUAUUGAACUAACUUAUAAGCUUAUUUGAAAAAAAUGUGAAGUGUUUGGUAACGAGCUUCUCUAACUAGCUUAUAGCGUUUUUUGAGAUGCUAUUUCAAGUAGUGUAUGAACUUAUAGCGUAUAGUCUUUUCAUUUUAUUCCAUAUUUACCCUCAUUAAUUUUAUUUAUUUAUUUUUUAAAAAUUAUAUAACUACCCACUAACACUUACAAAAAAAAAAACUACCUACUAACCAUGUAUUUUUAUAUCAUUUUGUACUUAUAACAACUAAAUUUGGCAAACACUUUAAUUUUAUUCUACUAGCUUUUCAGCUAUAAGUUACCAGCCAUCAGCUAUCAGCUAGCUUUUCAGCUGUAAGCUAACUUAUCAGCUAUCGGCAUUUCCCAUAACACGUGCAUUUACCAUUUAUGCAGCAACCAUCCUUUAAAAGUCUAUUCGCCCUAAAACAUUCACGGCGACAAAAAAGGCUGUCAAUGAAAUCAAUGCAUGGUGCAUAUUUGUAUCUAAGCAAUAUUAUGUCACAUGCUGCCUCAAUCUGCACCCUUGCUUCUUCUGCAAUUUAUAAUUAUAUUUGCCCAUUAUUGUUGAAAAAAAUUAUAUUUGCCAUUACAAAAAUAAAUAAAUAAAUUAAAAUUAAAAUUACUUUAAUUAAGAGAAAAAUGAAAAUAGAGAUACUAAUUAAAAUAUAAACUUACGAGCAACUAAGAAAACAAUAAGAAAGUAGUACAAGCUGAAAAGCAUUUUAUUCUCCAUUAUUUCUGACUUUUAUUUUGUCUCCUAAGGAUGUAUAUAAGUGGUUAUGAUACAUUGAUACAUCUCAAUGCUAUAUGUAUUGCUAUUUAAUAUUUAUAGAGCCAUUGAAAUUAAACUUUUGAAAUAAUAUUCCAACCAUUAAUCAAUUUGAAAAGUCACCAUG